UCCGUAGGGUGACCUGCGGAGGGAUCAKURSCGRGUUUACAACUCCCAAACCCAAUGUGAACCAUACCAAACUGUUGCCUCGGCGGGGUCACGCCCCGGGUGCGYCGCAGCCCCGGAACCAGGCGCCCGCCGGAGGGACCAACCAAACUCUUUCUGUAGUCCCCUCGCGGACGUUAUUUCUUACAGCUCUGAGCAAAAAUUCAAAAUGAAUCAAAACUUUCAACAACGGAUCUCUUGGUUCUGGCAUCGAUGAAGAACGCAGCGAAAUGCGAUAAGUAAUGUGAAUUGCAGAAUUCAGUGAAUCAUCGAAUCUUUGAACGCACAUUGCGCCCGCCAGUAUUCUGGCGGGCAUGCCUGUCCGAGCGUCAUUUCAACCCUCGAACCCCUCCGGGGGGUCGGCGUUGGGGAUCGGGAACCCCUAAGACGGGAUCCCGGCCCCGAAAUACAGUGGCGGUCUCGCCGCAGCCUCUCCUGCGCAGUAGUUUGCACAACUCGCACCGGGAGCGCGGCGCGUCCACGUCCGUAAAACACCCAACUUCUGAAAUGUUGACCUCGGAUCAGGUAGKMMYAYCCGCUGAACUUAAGCAUAUCAAUAAGCGGAGGA
rnacentral:rRNA from 1 species